rnacentral:rRNA from 1 species
CAGUCGAACGCGUCUUGGUCAAUGAAGUUGAGUGCUUGCAUUUAACUGAUUUGACAUUAAGACGAGUGGCGAACUGGUGAGUAACACGUGGGUAACUUGCCCCGAAGCGGGGGAUAACAUUUGGAAACAGGUGCUAAUACCGCAUAACAACAAAAACCACAUGGUUUUUGUUUAAAAGAUGGUUUCGGCUAUCACUUUGGGAUGGACCCGCGGCGUAUUAGCUAGUUGGUGAGGUAAUGGCUCACCAAGGCAAUGAUACGUAGCCGACCUGAGAGGGUAAUCGGCCACAUUGGGACUGAGACACGGCCCAAACUCCUACGGGAGGCAGCAGUAGGGAAUCUUCCACAAUGGACGAAAGUCUGAUGGAGCAACGCCGCGUGAGUGAUGAAGGGUUUCGGCUCGUAAAACUCUGUUGUUGGAGAAGAACGGGUGUCAGAGUAACUGUUGACAUCGUGACGGUAUCCAACCAGAAAGCCACGGCUAACUACGUGCCAGCAGCCGCGGUAAUACGUAGGUGGCAAGCGUUGUCCGGAUUUAUUGGGCGUAAAGCGAGCGCAGGCGGUUUUUUAGGUCUGAUGUGAAAGCCUUCGGCUUAACCGGAGAAGUGCAUCGGAAACCGGGAGACUUGAGUGCAGAAGAGGACAGUGGAACUCCAUGUGUAGCGGUGAAAUGCGUAGAUAUAUGGAAGAACACCAGUGGCGAAGGCGGCUGUCUGGUCUGCAACUGACGCUGAGGCUCGAAAGCAUGGGUAGCGAACAGGAUUAGAUACCCUGGUAGUCCAUGCCGUAAACGAUGAGUGCUAAGUGUUGGAGGGUUUCCGCCCUUCAGUGCUGCAGCUAACGCAUUAAGCACUCCGCCUGGGGAGUACGACCGCAAGGUUGAAACUCAAAGGAAUUGACGGGGGCCCGCACAAGCGGUGGAGCAUGUGGUUUAAUUCGAUGCUACGCGAAGAACCUUACCAGGUCUUGACAUCUUCUGCUAACCUAAGAGAUUAGGCGUUCCCUUCGGGGACGGAAUGACAGGUGGUGCAUGGUUGUCGUCAGCUCGUGUCGUGAGAUGUUGGGUUAAGUCCCGCAACGAGCGCAACC